rnacentral:rRNA from 1 species
AGAGUUUGAUCCUGGCUCAGGACGAACGCUGGCGGCGUGCCUAAUACAUGCAAGUAGAACGCUGAAGAGAGGAGCUUGCUCUUCUUGGAUGAGUUGCGAGCGGGUGAGUAACGCGUAGGUAACCUGCCUUGUAGCGGGGGAUAACUAUUGGAAACGAUAGCUAAUACCGCAUAACAAUGGAUGACACACGUCAUUUAUUUGAAAGGGGCAAUUGUUCCACUACAAGAUGGACCUGCGUUGUAUUAGCUAGUAGGUGAGGUAAUGGCUCACCUAGGCGACGAUACAUAGCCGACCUGAGAGGGUGAUCGGCCACACUGGGACUGAGACACGGCCCAGACUCCUACGGGAGGCAGCAGUAGGGAAUCUUCGGCAAUGGGGGCAACCCUGACCGAGCAACGCCGCGUGAGUGAAGAAGGUUUUCGGAUCGUAAAGCUCUGUUGUAAGUCAAGAACGGGUGUGAGAGUGGAAAGUUCACACUGUGACGGUAGCUUACCAGAAAGGGACGGCUAACUACGUGCCAGCAGCCGCGGUAAUACGUAGGUCCCGAGCGUUGUCCGGAUUUAUUGGGCGUAAAGCGAGCGCAGGCGGUCUGAUAAGUCUGAAGUUAAAGGCUGUGGCUCAACCAUAGUUCGCUUUGGAAACUGUCAAACUUGAGUGCAGAAGGGGAGAGUGGAAUUCCAUGUGUAGCGGUGAAAUGCGUAGAUAUAUGGAGGAACACCGGUGGCGAAAGCGGCUCUCUGGUCUGUAACUGACGCUGAGGCUCGAAAGCGUGGGGAGCGAACAGGAUUAGAUACCCUGGUAGUCCACGCCGUAAACGAUGAGUGCUAGGUGUUGGAUCCUUUCCGGGAUUCAGUGCCGCAGCUAACGCAUUAAGCACUCCGCCUGGGGAGUACGACCGCAAGGUUGAAACUCAAAGGAAUUGACGGGGGCCCGCACAAGCGGUGGAGCAUGUGGUUUAAUUCGAAGCAACGCGAAGAACCUUACCAGGUCUUGACAUCCCGAUGCUAUUUCUAGAGAUAGAAAGUUACUUCGGUACAUCGGUGACAGGUGGUGCAUGGUUGUCGUCAGCUCGUGUCGUGAGAUGUUGGGUUAAGUCCCGCAACGAGCGCAACCCCUAUUGUUAGUUGCCAUCAUUCAGUUGGGCACUCUAGCGAGACUGCCGGUAAUAAACCGGAGGAAGGUGGGGAUGACGUCAAAUCAUCAUGCCCCUUAUGACCUGGGCUACACACGUGCUACAAUGGUUGGUACAACGAGUUGCGAGUCGGUGACGGCGAGCUAAUCUCUUAAAGCCAAUCUCAGUUCGGAUUGUAGGCUGCAACUCGCCUACAUGAAGUCGGAAUCGCUAGUAAUCGCGGAUCAGCACGCCGCGGUGAAUACGUUCCCGGGCCUUGUACACACCGCCCGUCACACCACGAGAGUUUGUAACACCCGAAGUCGGUGAGGUAACCUUUUGGAGCCAGCCGCCUAAGGUGGGACAGAUGAUUGGGGUGAAGUCGUAACAAGGUA